rnacentral:tRNA from 1 species
GUCUCCAUCGUCUAGUGGUUAGGACAUCAGGUUUUCAUCCUGGUAACAUGGGUUCAACUCCCGUUGGAGAUGCCA